rnacentral:rRNA from 2 species
AAAUUGAAGAGUUUGAUCAUGGCUCAGAUUGAACGCUGGCGGCAGGCCUAACACAUGCAAGUCGAACGGUAACAGGAAGCAGCUUGCUGCUUUGCUGACGAGUGGCGGACGGGUGAGUAAUGUCUGGGAAACUGCCUGAUGGAGGGGGAUAACUACUGGAAACGGUGGCUAAUACCGCAUAACGUCGCAAGACCAAAGAGGGGGACCUUCGGGCCUCUUGCCAUCAGAUGUGCCCAGAUGGGAUUAGCUUGUUGGUGAGGUAACGGCUCACCAAGGCGACGAUCCCUAGCUGGUCUGAGAGGAUGACCAGCCACACUGGAACUGAGACACGGUCCAGACUCCUACGGGAGGCAGCAGUGGGGAAUAUUGCACAAUGGGCGCAAGCCUGAUGCAGCCAUGCCGCGUGUAUGAAGAAGGCCUUCGGGUUGUAAAGUACUUUCAGCGGGGAGGAAGGUGUUGUGGUUAAUAACCGCAGCAAUUGACGUUACCCGCAGAAGAAGCACCGGCUAACUCCGUGCCAGCAGCCGCGGUAAUACGGAGGGUGCAAGCGUUAAUCGGAAUUACUGGGCGUAAAGCGCACGCAGGCGGUCUGUCAAGUCGGAUGUGAAAUCCCCGGGCUCAACCUGGGAACUGCAUUCGAAACUGGCAGGCUUGAGUCUUGUAGAGGGGGGUAGAAUUCCAGGUGUAGCGGUGAAAUGCGUAGAGAUCUGGAGGAAUACCGGUGGCGAAGGCGGCCCCCUGGACAAAGACUGACGCUCAGGUGCGAAAGCGUGGGGAGCAAACAGGAUUAGAUACCCUGGUAGUCCACGCCGUAAACGAUGUCUACUUGGAGGUUGUGCCCUUGAGGCGUGGCUUCCGGAGCUAACGCGUUAAGUAGACCGCCUGGGGAGUACGGCCGCAAGGUUAAAACUCAAAUGAAUUGACGGGGGCCCGCACAAGCGGUGGAGCAUGUGGUUUAAUUCGAUGCAACGCGAAGAACCUUACCUGGUCUUGACAUCCACAGAACUUUCCAGAGAUGGACUGGUGCCUUCGGGAACCGUGAGACAGGUGCUGCAUGGCUGUCGUCAGCUCGUGUUGUGAAAUGUUGGGUUAAGUCCCGCAACGAGCGCAACCCUUAUCCUUUGUUGCCAGCGAUUAGGUCGGGAACUCAAAGGAGACUGCCAGUGAUAAACUGGAGGAAGGUGGGGAUGACGUCAAGUCAUCAUGGCCCUUACGACCAGGGCUACACACGUGCUACAAUGGCGCAUACAAAGAGAAGCGACCUCGCGAGAGCAAGCGGACCUCAUAAAGUGCGUCGUAGUCCGGAUUGGAGUCUGCAACUCGACUCCAUGAAGUCGGAAUCGCUAGUAAUCGUGGAUCAGAAUGCCACGGUGAAUACGUUCCCGGGCCUUGUACACACCGCCCGUCACACCAUGGGAGUGGGUUGCAAAAGAAGUAGGUAGCUUAACCUUCGGGAGGGCGCUUACCACUUUGUGAUUCAUGACUGGGGUGAAGUCGUAACAAGGUAACCGUAGGGGAACCUGCGGUUGGAUCACCUCCUUACCUUAAAGAAGC